AUUUUGACUAUGACAACGAAUCCCCGUUUGCCUUCGACCCGCGGGCAUCGCCUCCGAGGGAAAGGGCCGCGGCCGCGUUCCCGAUCCGUCGAUAUGUGGACUCGGAUUCUUCGGAGGCAGAAUGGUGCUCUUGUAGCUCUUGUCGGCCGACGCUGCCAGACGAAGACCUUUGCUGUGGGGAAAUCGAGAAAAUGGCUCCACUGCUGCGGGAGGGGUGCAUCACCCGCAACGAUCUGUUUCGGGUGCUAUGCCUUCAUCGAGAAUCGUUGGAGGUUCAUGCUCUGAUGAUGGAGCAUUUCACUCCUACAGCUAUGGAGACCAACGAUAAAAACAGAAAGCUGAGGUACACUGCAUACCGGGUGUUCGUGAGCUGGGUGUGGCGCUACUGCGGUAGAUCAAAUCGCCACCGCUUGCCAGGUUGCGUCUUGAGAAAGAUACGGGAGGCCUUUCCAUCACCGUCUUAACAACUAUUUUCGUGGCCAUAGUACUCCAACUGCCACCUACUGCCACUCCCGAUCCAGUAGAUCCACGACAUAGUAAAUCUGAAGAGCCAGCCGAGCUGUUUUCAUUUUAAUAAACAUUUUCUCUCUGUCACUACAUGCCUCCGCCUCGUUCAAAAGGAUCAUGCUGCGCUGCGUGCCCGCCUUUGAGCAAAGCUCGG
rnacentral:misc_RNA from 1 species